rnacentral:rRNA from 1 species
UACGAAGGGGGCUAGCGUUGCUCGGAAUGACUGGGCGUAAAGGGCGCGUAGGCGGAUGGCACAGUCAGAUGUGAAAUUCCUGGGCUUAACCUGGGGGCUGCAUUUGAUACGUGUUGUCUUGAGUGAGGAAGAGGGUCGUGGAAUUCCCAGUGUAGAGGUGAAAUUCGUAGAUAUUGGGAAGAACACUGGUGGCGAAGGCGACUUCCUGGCCUGUUCUUGACGCUGAGGCGCGAAAGCUAGGGGAGCAAACGGG